CCUUUGCUUGGGCUCGUCCUGAUUCUGCUCCUUUCCUUCCCCAGAAGCUGCCUUCCAGUUUACUGUGACUGCUGCACCUUCCCUGGGCAAAGCUGAUCUGAUGGAAGGAGUCUGCAGAGAGGUCUCCAAGCGAUUCAUCAAAGGCUCCUAAAACCCCCAGCCUGCCCCGCUCUAAUGGCCACAUAAUCAGAGAUGAAAGUCCAAAGAUAGACUCUUUGUGUCCAAGUGCCAUUGUGGUCUGGAGAGAAGAUCCCAGCAGAUCUAUGGCAGCAGCUCGGGGAAGAAGCC